UACGUAGGUGGCAAGCGUUGUCCGGAUUUACUGGGUGUAAAGGGCGUGCAGCCGGGCUGACAAGUCAGAUGUGAAAUCCCGCGGCUCAACCGCGGAACUGCAUUUGAAACUGUCAGUCUUGAGUACCGGAGAGGUCAUCGGAAUUCCUUGUGUAGCGGUGAAAUGCGUAGAUAUAAGGAGGAACACCAGUGGCGAAGGCGGCCUGCUGGGCUUUUACUGACGCUGAGGCUCGAAAGUGUGGGGAGCAAACAGG
rnacentral:rRNA from 1 species